rnacentral:lncRNA from 1 species
GGGCGUUAUCAUUCGGACAAAUUCCUGGGAACUGCGGAUCUAGCUCGCCACAGUAUCUUAUCAGUUAACUGCAUUCUUGGAUGUGCUGGGAGUCAGCUUGCACAAGUUAAGUCCUUGAGGAAGGGGCUGCCGGUGAAAGAGCCAAGAUGGAGUUUGUGUGACUCUCUCAGCUAAGGGAGAAGCAAGGCUAGGUGAAUAAAGGAAAAACAAGGUUGGGCAUUACACGGAGGUGGAGUGAUUGUGUAAAGCAGAGUGAGGUGGUGUUGCUGGAAGACAUGGAUGGAGGCAUGACACAGACUGUCCACUGCAAAAACCAUGGACGGAGGAGGCGUCACACAGACUGUCCACUGCAAAGACCACAGAUGGAGGCGUGACACAGACUGUCCACUGCAGAGACCAUGGACGGAGGCAGCCUCCGAGCCAGCCCAGCAGCCAUGGACGGAGGAGCCUUGGAGCCAGCCCAGCAGCUCUCCUCACUGGAGGGGUGGACGGGACAGGACCGGCUGCUCAUUCCACGCUGGAGGGAGGCCAGGAGUCUCAGCUGGAUGCAGUCACCUGACCUGGAGAGUUCAAAGUGCCUAACACAGGAAGGUCCUGGAGGGGAUGGCCUGGGAUGGGCUAGGACCCGGUUCCCACCUCAGGAGGCCUCUGGCCAUGGAAGUGCUAAGGUGCCUAGUAUCCGUCUGUCCGGGUGACUCUGGCUUGGGGGUUGGGUGGCCUUGCCUGCGUCCAGCGACAUGGGGAGGUGUGUGUGGAAAACCAGAUGCCACCUCACUCACAUGGCGCGGGGCGGUGGCUGGGGGUUGGAGGUGAUGGCUACUGGUUCCUCCCCCACUGGGGACCAUUUCCAGGGAUGCUGCUACCCACAAGCCUGGAUCCUGGCGUGCUCCGCGGCUCUCCUUCAAGCCCUGGCCUCAUCAGACCUCCAAGGCUCCCUAGACAGGGUUAAUUAUUCACGUGGCCUGGGACCCAGGGUUCGUUUGUUUGUUUUUCCCGACACAGUAGGGUCCACGAGGAAGUCAGGAUCCACCGGCAAUAUUUGCAGUGUUAUGUUGAAUGUGGCAACUGGCUGCGUGAGGAUAGAGAAGUAAACAGCAUGUCCGGUGGCAGUCGGUUACCACACAGAAUUUAGGAGGCCCAGUGAAAUGCAAAUGCUAGGUCCCCCUCCCCUCUGGGUGAGCCUGGAUGCCAGCACCCUGUUCCGCCCGCCCAGCAUGCAGAACAAAAGCACAACGCACAGAAACACAGCCGGUGCGCGCAGGGCGGCAGGCUGGCUUCUCCCUCCCUCCUGCCGAGGUCUCCGGCCCCUUCCCCCUUCCCUCCUUCCCUCCCCUCUCCUCUUCUAUUAGAAAAUGGGAGUGUUAGGGUUGAAUUGUGUCCCCCCAAAACAGGUAUGUUGGGGUCCUGAUUCCCAGUCCCCUAGAAUGUGACCGUGCUUGGAGAUAAGACCUUUACAGAGUAACUGAUUAAAAUGAGGUCAUUAGCAGGGACCCUAGUGCAGCAUGACUGGUGUCCUUUCAAAAAGGAGAAAUUUGGAUACAGACAUAGACACACACUGAGGGAAGGUGAAGUAAAGGGGCAAGGAGAAGACGGCCUGCAACGGGAGUGACGCCCUUACAAGCCGAGGGACGCCUGGCAGUGCCAGCUGACACCAGGAGCAGGGAGAGGCCAGGAAGCCUGGCAGUGCCAGCUGACACCAGGAGCAGGGAGAGGCCUGGAACGGUUCUCCCUGGAGACAUCCGGGACACACCUUGAUUUCAGGAUUCCAUGAUAGCUUCCAGAACUGCCAAAGAACGCAUUUCUGUGUUUUCAGCCACCCAGUCUGUGGUAUCUUGUGACUGCCGCCCUAGGAAAGUAAAACAAGGAGUUAAUUCAUGAAGGGUGGGGGAAAUACGUACCCUUUGAAAUACCACCUAGAGGAAGGGGUAAUAGUACACCCGAUCAUGUGCUCCAGUUUAUGAAAUAGUUGCACGUCACUCGGAAUUUUGAAAAACAAUAUAUUUUCAGGACUCAAAAGAUUUGCUUGCUAUGGACUUGUCUUGCAAAAUAAAGAAUCUCUUUGUAGACCACAUUCAUAGAUGUAUUUCAUGUAUGUUGACAUUGAUUUGGCUUGCUCAGAAAUAGGAAACGUGAGAACUUGAAUAUCAUGGCGUUUACAAAGCCAGUGAGGUCAGUUCCUCUCCUGGGCCUCAGGUGCAACCAUUGGCCGCCUGGCCUACCUCUGGAAAGCGUUUGGAGAGGGCGUGAGUUCUUGCACCCACCCUCUGGUUUUGCAAGCUCCCUCUGCCAUGGCUGGUGGAAGGCUGUGUUGGGGAGGUGGUGGAGUC